rnacentral:rRNA from 1 species
AGGAACCUGCCUUGGAGAGGGGAAUAACACAGAGAAAUUUGUGCUAAUACCGCAUAAUGCAGCUGGGUCGCAUGGCUCUGGCUGCCAAAGAUUUUAUCGCUCUGAGAUGGCCUCGCGUCUGAUUAGCUAGUUGGUGGGGCAACGGCCCACCAAGGCGACGAUCAGUAGCCGGACUGAGAGGUUGACCGGCCACAUUGGGACUGAGACACGGCCCAGACUCCUACGGGAGGCAGCAUG